rnacentral:rRNA from 1 species
GAUGAACGCUGGCGGCGUGCCUAAUACAUGCAAGUCGAGCGAACAGAUGAGAAGCUUGCUCCUCUGAUGUUAGCGGCGGACGGGUGAGUAACACGUGGAUAACCUACCUAUAAGACUGGGAUAACUUCGGGAAACCGGAGCUAAUACCGGAUAAUAUUUUGAACCGCAUGGUUCAAUAGUGAAAGACGGUCUUGCUGUCACUUAUAGAUGGAUCCGCGCUGCAUUAGCUAGUUGGUAAGGUAACGGCUUACCAAGGCAACGAUGCAUAGCCGACCUGAGAGGGUGAUCGGCCACACUGGAACUGAGACACGGUCCAGACUCCUACGGGAGGCAGCAGUAGGGAAUCUUCCGCAAUGGGCGAAAGCCUGACGGAGCAACGCCGCGUGAGUGAUGAAGGUCUUCGGAUCGUAAAACUCUGUUAUUAGGGAAGAACAAAUGUGUAAGUAACUAUGCACGUCUUGACGGUACCUAAUCAGAAAGCCACGGCUAACUACGUG